AUGAAUGGAGAGGAGAAAACCUAUGGUGGCUGUGAAGGCCCUGAUGAUGCCAUGGAUUUUUGGCAUGGCAUUUUUCAAAUUGAUAUCAUCCAAUGGCCAUGAAUUUAUUAUAAAAACAGAAUGUGCAUUAACAUCAGGCACGAUAAAAGCCAUGUUGAGGGGCUCAGGUCAGUUUGCUGAGAAUGAAACCAAUUAGAUCAAUUUUAGAGAGAUACCUUCACAUGUGCUCUCAAAAGUAUGCAUGUAUUUUACAUUAACAGCUCUACCGAGAUUCCUGAAUAUCCAAUUGCACCUGAAAUUGCACUAGAACUGCUUAUGGCUACAAACUUCCUAGAUUGUUAAAUAAAAUAAAUUAUAAUUUAGAAAAAGAAAGAAAUGUUGCCUUCAAAAACGGUAGAGUUAAAAAGAUUAGCAUUUUUCUCCUACUGUUUUCUGUAGAUUAACUUAAAUUUCUGAGGAUAAUUGAGUUGUACAUAGAAAUUAUUACCAUUAGGAAAUAGUUACGUUAAAUAAAGCAAUAAUAACAGGCUAAUAAUGUAUUAUGUUAUAAAUUGUUGGGAAUGUUGAAUUGUGGUGAAAUUGGGAAAGAGUAAAUCUUUUAAUAAUUGAAGACUACUUGAAGGGGCAUGAACUGGAGAUGCAAGAAAAUUUACUUUAAGGGAUUGGUUCAUUAUUCUGCAGUUUCCCCAUGCCAACAAUCUUUGUUACACACUUAAAAGUUUAAAGAAGUUAGAAGCUGAAUGAACAAAUCAUCAAAUUGAAUAUCAGAAAUUUCUAAAGUUUUGUUCUGUGUUUCAUUUAUUGGCACUUACCCCAAACAAAUAAAUCGUUUUAGUUUAUCCAAAUGGAUAGCCCCUUUUGGUAUGUCAAAUUGAAGUCGAUUCUUUGUAAAAGGAGAAGUAUGGCUAAUUAAAAUAAAAUUUAUCAUGUGCUAAGCACUGUUCUGUGUGCUUUAAAUAUUCAUUUAAUUUUGUAACAGCCUUUCGUAAGCUCAAUAGUGAUCUUAUGCCCAUUUUCCAAGAUGUAAAUAGAGACACAAAGAGAUUAAUAACUUACUUAACAUCACACAGCUCUCAUGUGGUAGAGCUGGAAUUUUAGCCUUGUCACUCUGGCUCCAGAAUAUAUCUCUAAAGCAUUGUGCUUUGCUGCUCCAGGAUAGGAUAUUCAAUUCAUCCAGCCUUGUUUCUGUUCUUAAGACCAGUGGUUCAGAUCUGAAUUUUCACCUCUAUUUAGAAAAGCUGUUGUGCAGUGUUUAGGUUGGAAAGAUUUAUUUUAGUCCCAGUCCACAGUGGCUUUUACUUUCUGAGAGUGCCAAAAUUUCUCAUAAAAUAAUCCUCUGUAAACUCUGGCAUACUUGAACUCCUCCCCACCCCUUUCUUUAUUUUAAAAGUAACAUUAUGGGGUUUUUUGUUUUGUUUUGUUUAAUAUUCAAGUAAGUAUGAUAUUAUGAGAUUCAAUUAUGUGCUUGCUUAAAACUUGUUCUCCGUGUUAUAGAGGACAUGUAAAAUAUAUGAGUUUAUUAUAAAAUACUGUAGCAUUAAUAGCCAGUUGAUUCUACUCCCUCCUAUUAUAAAGCCACUGGAGGGUUUGGCAGAAAACAAGGAAGCUUCUGUUUCAUAUUUUUUAAAAGAGCUGGUUGAUUGAGCUCUUAAUUACCUAGAAGAUAAAAGACAAUGAAUCUGGCUAUUUCUUCACAGUUGUUUCUUGCAUUUUCUUCUUAGUAUCUCCACAAGCAGGUAGCUGGUAAAAGAACUAAACUUAAAACUCAUCCCCUGACUUGCUGUUUCAGUCCCCCCAAAAAUUAGAUUGUUCCAUGUACUACAUUUGAUUUAAGUAUUUUGAGUGUACUGCAUGUCCCAGGUAGUAUAUUUGAUUUAUAUAUUUUGAGUGAGUAAAUGAACAAACUAAGGUUUUGGUAAUUGAAAUCUUUGAAAUUUUUUUAGCUAUGUGCAGUCAGAUUAGAAGAUUAGAAGGCUCAGCCUUAAGAAGUUGGAUUCUGAAUUUAUUUUCACAGAUUCCUUAAAGAUUGCUCCCAUUCCCUGGAUAUUGCUUUCUGCUUAUUAUUCUUUAAAACUUAAUUGGAAGCAAGCAGCCAAAUCAAAUCUAAUGAGAAUAAGUAGGCCUAUAUUUCUUCAACAGCCAAUGAGAAAAUAAGGUUCAAGAUACUGAUUCAUUUUAGUGAUUUUGAGGAAUUAAAUGAUACUUACACACUUGCUUUCUGAUUUUAAAAAUAAUUGAGUGAUUUUUAAGCCAUCUGAAAUUCUGUGACAGGCAGUCACAUUUGAUAGACACGUUUUCAGCCAAGGUGAAAGCUUAUCUCUUUGUGAAUCAAAUUGUCAUACUGAAUAUAAUGUAACUACUUUUUUGUGACUCAGGGCCAUCAUGAAAAAUUAUUUUAAUAUUCUGCUUACUGAAAUGCCCUAAGACUUUUUGUAUUUAGCGCAUUAAAAAAUGCCUGGCAGUGUGUGCUUUUUGGGUUCUUUUCAGUCCAAUUUUGUUAGUAGCUGCUGCUUAGUACAGUCAUUAUGCCUGCUAAUUUCUAAUUGUGUUUUACCACUGUUAAUUUACUACUGACUUUAAAAUCCAAAGCACAUUCAUAUAUGAUGUAUUUCCACAGACUGCUUUCCUUUAUUACGUAACACUUAUUACCAUAUUAACCUUAUCCAUUUUCUUCUGUCUUUCCACAAGAUUAAGGUUCUUCAGGAUUGUAUCUAUGAACUAAAUAUUCCCCACUGUCUUUUAGACACUCUAAAAAUUGACUAUCUGGCCAAAUAGGUGAUUGACUGAAUAAAAUAAAAUGGAAUGGAGUGGAAUGAAAUGGAAUAGAAUGAAAUUAAUUGAAAGGUCAUGUCAUAAUAAGAUAAGACAAAAUUUUAAUGAUAUGAUGGACGUACAUGAGAUAGACAAACUUUUAUAAAUUUCUAUAAAAUUUAAAGAUUUCAGAAAGAGUAUAUGGUAUAUUCCCUCUGUAAUAGAUACAUAUCUAUUGUCACUUCCUAUAGUUUUUUUGUUGUUGUUCUUGUUUUGGUAGGUAUGGAUUUUUUUUUUUUUCUUUUUCACUGCCUGGAUCUUGGUUGUACUUUGAAUAGGCGAUAAGAUUUUA